rnacentral:rRNA from 1 species
AGAGUUUGAUCCUGGCUCAGAAUCAACGCUGGCGGCGUGCCUAACACAUGCAAGUCGAACGAGAAAGUGGAGCAAUCCAUGAGUAAAGUGGCGACCGGGUGAGUAACACGUGACUAACCUACCUCCGAGUGGGGAAUAACUCCGGGAAACCGGGGCUAAUACCGCAUAACAUCACAAGAUCAAAGCAGCAAUGCGCUUGGAGAGGGGGUCGCGGCUGAUUAGCUAGUUGGCGGGGUAACGGCCCACCAAGGCGAAGAUCGGUAUCCGGCCUGAGAGGGCGCACGGACACACUGGAACUGAAACACGGUCCAGACUCCUACGGGAGGCAGCAGUGGGGAAUUUUGCGCAAUGGGGGAAACCCUGACGCAGCAACGCCGCGUGGAGGAUGAAGUCCCUUGGGACGUAAACUCCUUUCGACCAAGACGAUAAUGACGGUACUGGUGGAAGAAGCACCGGCUAACUCUGUGCCAGCAGCCGCGGUAAUACAGAGGGUGCGAGCGUUGUUCGGAAUUAUUGGGCGUAAAGGGCGCGUAGGCGGUGCCACAAGUCACCUGUGAAAUCUCCGGGCUUAACUCGGAGUCUGCAGGCGAAACUGUGGUGCUGGAGUGUGGGAGAGGUGCGUGGAAUUCCCGGUGUAGCGGUGAAAUGCGUAGAUAUCGGGAGGAACACCUGUGGCGAAAGCGGCGCACUGGACCAUAACUGACGCUGAGGCGCGAAAGCUAGGGGAGCAAACAGGAUUAGAUACCCUGGUAGUCCUAGCCCUAAACGAUGAUUGCUUGGUGUAGCAGGUACCCAAUCCUGCUGUGCCGCAGCUAACGCGAUAAGCAAUCCGCCUGGGGAGUACGUCGCAAGGCUGAACUCAAGGAAUUGACGGGGCCCGCACAAGCGGUGGAGCAUGUGGUUCAAUUCGACGCAACGCGAAGAACCUUACCUGGGCUCGAAAUGCAGGAGACCAGAG